AGGGAUUUUGGGUGCUUCACUGGAGUCACUCUGGACAUCUGUGUAAGACAGUCUGAUCACAGGAAUUAAGGUCAAUGCUAGUGGGCAAAGGUGUUUGACGGCGAGAGGUAAGAGGAUAUCUUACAUCAGCAGCUGCAUGAUUUCUCAGACCUGUCCUUGUCUGUAUUUUUCCAUCCAUUCAUCACCUCUUUCCUCAGCAGCUCUUUGUAAAGGUCGCUCUGUCUGGCCUCCACCAAUCCACCCAUCUCUUUCUCACCCUCUCUGUCCCUGCCGCUCUCUUGCUCGCUGUAUGUUUGAUGGUGCAUCAUGAAAUCUGCCGCCUACACAGCUUGGCUUUCACACAAAGACAUCUUUUCAGUCCCAGACACAAAACUAUUUACUGAUAGUUGCUCAGCACUGAACACCUCUGUGCUACCUGCUAAAAAAAAGAAAAAAAGGAGACCUAAUGAAGCUGUGGCACAUUUCUGAGACUUCACUGUUUUCUCAGGCUGGAGUGGCGACUGUGGGAUGCUGGUGCGACUUCACAUGGUACCAGAUGAUGCAUUAGUCCUCCGUGAUUGGGCAGAGAUAUCAAAUGAAACAUGUAGGAGGAGAGUUUUUGUGUCUACAUGUUUCCAGAUCUUGUGUGUUCUGACAUGCCCUCUGUGCAGUCAUCUGAAAGCACCAACCUGUCACAGCCUGUUUUUCCAAGAGACUUCCCAAAUGCACCUCAUUCUGAAAAACAUUACUAAACAAUGAUGCACUAAGACAAAAGGCACAUCGCCACCCUUUCUCUCUAGAACAUCCCCUUCGCCUGGUGAGUGCACUUCAAAAACUCAACAGUUGUACAUUGAAUUAUUCCUCUCAUCUGCAAUCCAAAUUCAAGCCUACUUUAAUUGUCUGUAUCUUCCCCUCUGCUAAGGUUCAAAGGGAAACUUGGAUCGUGAGCUCAACGGGAUAUUAAGUCCUAUUAAUACCGGGGCCUGCUUGGCUUCUGGAAAGGCUGCCUUGUUCCCAGGGUUGGACUUCACUGAUACCAGGGUGCCAACCAGACACAGGAACAGUGCCAAGGACCCGUGGUAAUGCACUGGCACUGAAUUGCCAGAGACUGAGGCGAGACAGACGGCAGACAGGAAUGGCGAAAGCAGAACUGAGGUCAGCGCGGCAGCUUUGACUGGUAUGUGAAGGACAGGAGAGACGAAGGUCAUACUAAUGGAGACAUAAUUUUGCACAUAUUGAUUGUGAAAGCUGUGGGAACAGGCUGGAUGCUGAGAGCAAGAGGACAGACCUUGAGGGCAGAGAAUUUAGAGACUGACUGCUGCUGAUUUCCCACGACGUACCGAGCAGGCAGCAGAGUGUAGGCGUAGAAGCGCUUCAUGUUGGUGACCAGGUCGUCCUUGGAGUUGAUGACAUAUUCCACAAACAUGCGGUUAAGAAGGAACCAGUCGGAACCGCCGUCCACCGAGAUUCCCUCUGGGAUUUUACGGUCGCCCAGCCUCCACAUGUGCGUGUCGCACUCAUAGAAGAGACGAUCCAGACCCUGCUUACGGAUAAACCUAAUAAACACACACAAAUGCAUGGUUA